rfam:Schistosoma rodhaini strain Burundi genome assembly, scaffold: SROB_scaffold0004954
AGCAUUUCGAUUCCUUGCGGAGAUUUCGUCAGACACCAACCCAUUAGGGCUUAUCAGACUUCCAAGAUAAGUAAAGUU